rfam:Capsella rubella cultivar Monte Gargano unplaced genomic scaffold scaffold_8, whole genome shotgun sequence.
UACCAAUGAUGGAAUUCAAAUAAUCAUCAGAUCUGAUGUGUAUACACAUGAUUACAAUCAUUGAUGCUGAGGUA